AAUAAACAAGGCUGAGAAAUAAGUAGGCAAGUUCUUAUUUCACCAAGCAGUUCAGACUUAUUCGACCAAGCACAACAAAUUCACAGUCAUUUUAACAAUCCCAUCUUUUCAGAGUUGAACAAUUAUUCAUUUAAUACUUCUGAGCACUACGGUAACUCACAAAGUUCGGAAAUAACACAAAAUUACACCAAACACCACACAGCGAAAUACAUAAACUUGUCCUACAUAAUCUUACAUGUUUAAGAAACAACACGGCCAACAACAGGGUACUUAGCUUGAAAUUUCUUCUCCCAAUCGUUGAGAACACCGAUCUCUUUCUCAGAGAGGCCUUCGAGCGAAGGGGUGAUGUCCUCCUCGUUCUUGGUCAUCUUAGCCAGAGCUCUGCUCGCGUCCUUGCCGGCGAACAUGGCGUAAGGGCCACAGGGGCCGUAGAAAGCAACGCCUGUUGUGACGUCAUAAAUUUGGCCCUUCAAAGCAACAUAGAUGGGCUUCGAUGGGUCGGUGCCAUUGUAGGCCAACAGUUGCGUAGGUGUAAGCUCCAUUAGCUUGUGGGGGAAUUGAUCAG
rnacentral:misc_RNA from 1 species